rnacentral:rRNA from 1 species
AGCUAAACAGCUAGCUUAUUCAUUCAUAUAACCAAAACAACAUUAAAACUCAAUACAAGACCAACAUAGCAUAAAUUAAAACAUUCUACUGCCCAAGUACGUGAGACAGAAAAGGCAAUUCCAAAGCUAUAGAAAUAGUACCGCAAGGGAACGCUGAAAGAGAAAUGAAAAAAAUCAUUAAAGCACAACAAAGCAGAGACUAACCCUCGUACCUUUUGCAUCAUGAUUUAGCUAGUCCCCCUGAGCAAAGAGAACUUUAGUUCAAACCCCCGAAACUAGGUGAGCUACCUCGAGACAGCCUAUAAUCAGGGCCAACCCGUCUCUGUGGCAAAAGAGUGGGAAGAUCUCCAGGUAGAAGUGACAGACCUACCGAACCUAGUUAUAGCUGGUUGCCUAAGAAAUGAAUAGAAGUUCAGCCCCGCACUCCUUAAUUCAAAGCCUUAAAUCGAAACGAAUAAAAGUAACAUGCGAGAGUUACUCAUACGGGGUACAGCCCUUAUGAAACAGGAUACAACCUCAUCAGGAGGUUAAAGAUUAUAUUAAACAAGAUAAACUGCUCCAGUGGGCCUAAAAGCAGCCACCUGAUCAGAAAGCGUUAAAGCUCCGGCAGAAUAAAAUUCCAUUAUUUAAAUAUUAAAUCUUAAACCCCUAAUUCUAUUAGGCCCCUCCAUGCCCACAUGGAAGUGAUACUGCUAAAAUGAGUAAUAAGAAGGACCCCCUUCUCCAAGCCUACGUGUAUGCUAGAUCGGACCUCCCACUAGCAAUUAUCGAACCCACCCCAAGAGGGAAUUGUGAUUAAAUCAAACACCAAGAAACACCCACAUAACCUAAUCGUUAAUCCAACACCGGAUGGCAUGAAGGAAAGACCAAAAGAAAAGGAAGGAACUCGGCAAACACAAGCCUCGCCUGUUUACCAAAAACAUCGCCUCCUGCAAAAACCGACGUAUAGGAGGUCUUACCUGCCCAGUGAUAGGUUAAACGGCCGCGGUAUUUUGACCGUGCGAAGGUAGCGCAAUCACUUGUCUUUUAAAUGAAGACCUGUAUGAAUGGUUAAACGAGGGCUUAACUGUCUCCCUUUUCUAGUCAAUGAAAUUGAUCUGCCCGUGCAGAAGCGGACAUAAAAAUACAAGACGAGAAGACCCUUUGGAGCUUAAGAUGCAAGGCCACCUAUGUCAAGAGCUUAAAACAACUAUAAACUAAAUAGUAACUGACCUUAAUCUUCGGUUGGGGCGACCAUGGGAAAAAACAUAGCUCCCACGCGGACUGGGUUAAAACCUAAAACCAAGAGAGACAUCUCUAAGCAACAGAACUUCUGACCACAAAGAUCCGGCUACCAUGCCGACCAACGAACCAAGUUACCCUAGGGAUAACAGCGCAAUCCCCUUUGAGAGUCCAUAUCGACAAGGGGGUUUACGACCUCGAUGUUGGAUCAGGACAUCCUAAUGGUGUAGCCGCUAUUAAGGGUUCGUUUGUUCAACGAUUAAAGUCCUACGUGAUCUGAGUUCAGACCGGAGCAAUCCAGGUCAGUUUCUAUCUGUAAUGCCACUUUUCCUAGUACGAAAGGACCGGAAAGAGGGGGCCCAUGCUAUAAAACACGCCCCACCCCUACUUAAUGCAACCAACUAAAUUAAAUAAUGGGAGGGCAUAAACCCACAUCAAGAUAAGAUU